UCCCUCAUGACUCAGUUGGUAAAGAAUCUGCCUGCUAUGCAGGAGACCUGGGUUCAAUCCCCGGGUUGGGAA
rnacentral:tRNA from 1 species